CAAUAGCGUAUAUUAAAGUUGUUGCAGUUAAAAAGCUCGUAGUUGAAUUUCUGUCAUACUUCGAGGAACGGUGCACUGAUGUGUACACGGGCUUCGGAGUUGAUAGCCUUCUGAGGGCGAAUCCACUUGUGGGUGAGCAAUCUCGGACCGUUACUUUGAGAAAAUUAGAGUGUUUAAAGCAGGCAUUUGCCUUGAAUACUACAGCAUGGAAUAAUAAGAUAGGACCGUGGUUCUUUCUUGUUGGUUCGGAGAGCUAUGGUAAUGAUUAACAGGGACAGUCGGGGGCAUUCGUAUUUGACAGUCAGAGGUGAAAUUCUUAGAUUUGUUAAAGACGAACUACUGCGAAAGCAUUUGCCAAGGAUGUGCCCAUUAA
rnacentral:rRNA from 1 species